UAGGGAAUCUUCCACAAUGGACGCAAGUCUGAUGGAGCAACGCCGCGUGAGUGAAGAAGGUUUUCGGACCGUAAAGCUCUGUUGUUGGUGAAGAAGGAUAGAGGUAGUAACUGGCCUUUAUUUGACGGUAAUCAACCAGAAAGUCACGGCUAACUACGUGCCAGCAGCCGCGGUAAUACGUAGGUGGCAAGCGUUGUCCGGAUUUAUUGGGCGUAAGGCGAGCGCAGGCGGAAGAAUAAGUCUGAUGUGAAAGCCCUCGGCUUAACCGAGGAAUUGCAUCGGAAACUGUUUUCUUGAGUGCAGAAGAGGAGAGUAGAACUCCAUGUGUAGCGGUGGAAUGCGUAGAUAUAUGGAAGAAUACCAGUGGCGAAGGCGGCUCUCUGGUCUGCAACUGACGCUGAGGCUCGAAAGCAUGGGUAGCGAACAGGAUUAGAUACCCUGGUAGUCCAUGCCGUAAACGAUGAGUGCUAAGUGUUGGGAGGCUUCCGCCUCUCAGUGCUGCAGCUAACGCAUUAAGCACUCCGCCUGGGGGAGUACGACCGCAAGGUUGAAAC
rnacentral:rRNA from 1 species